GAGCGCGGCGCGGCGCGGCGUGCGCGGGCACGAGAGGGCUGGCCUGCCUAAGGCUCAGGCGGCCGUGGGUGCGCGCGGUGGUGGCAGCGGGCGUGCGAGGCGCGGGCUGUUGUGCUCCCGGCUCUCCUCUUUCCCUUCCUUGGCGGGUGAAGGAGGUCGAAGCGUUGCUGGGCGCGCUCCCCCUUCCUUCCCUCCGUGACCUCCCCGGCCCUCUCGCGCCGCGCGGUCUCUCAGACGCAAGACUGUCCCGGCCCGGACAUGGCUCGUGGGCAGCAGAAGAUUCAGUCUCAGCAGAAAAAUGCCAAAAAGCAGGCUGGACAAAAGAAGAAACAAGGACAUGACCAAAAGGCUGCUGCAAAAGCUGCCUUAAUAUAUACCUGUACAGUCUGUAGGACACAAAUGCCAGACCCUAAGACCUUCAAGCAGCACUUUGAGAGCAAGCAUCCUAAGACUCCACUUCCUCCAGAAUUGGCUGAUGUUCAGGCAUAAAAUUGUUUACAGGUGAAUUCAUGACACCUUUGAUUCUACUGUCUCAGACCUUAGGAUCCAGUCCAAGACACCACAUUGCUCUUAGUUGUCAUUUCUCCUGAGUCUCCCCUGGGCUAUGACAGUUUCUCAGUCUUCCCCUUGGUUUUCAUGAUCUUGACAGUUUUGAGGUAUAUGGAUUAGAUGUGAUGUUGAAUGUCCCACAGUUUGUGUUUGUCUGAUGUUUUUCUAUUGGUUUCAUUGGUGUGACAGGGUUUUAAAAAGAAGACCAGAGAGGUGUAGUGCCCUUCACAUUGUAUUGGGGUUACAUUGUCACCAAUGAUGUCAGUAGUCAUGUUAACCAUCAUCACUUGGUUAAGGUGUCUUUCCUGUUUCUCCACUGGAAAGUUACUAUUUAUUCUUUUAUCACUUUUUUUUCAUGGCACUGGGGUUUGAACUCAGGACCUUACACUUGCUAGGCAGGUGCUCUACCACUUGGGCCACUCCACCAGCCACUAUUUUUUCUUUUAAACAUGGGUAAUUUUGGGGAAGGUAAAUUUAGCCCUUACUCAAAAAGGAGUAGAGACUUUGUACAACUGUUGGAGGGGAUAGUAUGUAUACUAUUUGGAGUUCUUUUAUGAAGAAAAUUUGUUUCCCUUUAUUUGUUAAAUCAUUUAUAUCAUAGACUCAUAAUCCAAUACUACAUUAUUUAUUUUGUUACUCAGGUUAUUCCAGCUUUGCUAUUGGGAGCUCUUUCAGGCCAGUUCCUGUAUCUCUUUGAUAUGCCCCAUCCUUGUGUUUGCUUUUUGAGAAGUUCCUUGCUUUUAAUACUGUAAAGAUGUUCCAGGCUCAUCUGGUGUUUUCCCUGGCCAGCUCCAUAAUAAGCCAUUUCUCCAGAGUCCUGAUUUCCUUUUAUUGGAUAAUAUUUAGAAACCCAGAUCUGUGUUCUGGGUGUGAAUUGGUUCUGAGUUCUUGUUUGUUUUUAGUUAUGAAAUAUUGAAAGUCUACCAUUAACUAGUAUUAGGAGAUUGUUGGAAGAUAAUCUUUAUCCCAGAUCUUUUGGCGGGGGGGCUCUGACUUUUUGCACACAUUACUGAAGCCUUUGCUUUUAAGUCACCACCAUGUUUAUUGAGAAUAGUAAACGUGAAGUUGCUUUGUAUGCCAUAAAGCAUUCCAUAAGAGCAACAUUUUGUGUAAAGAAAUACAGCAAAAAUCUUCAGUCUUUCAAAGGAAAGUACAUUCUGGAGAUAAUGCAUAUCUUUAAUUACAUAAUUUUAAGCUAGAUGGCUAAGUGCAUGGUGUGUUUCAUAGAUAACUUGUAUAGGAGUACAGAAGGAGGAAUAGUAGGUACAGGAGGGAGGUGGCUUGUGGGUUGAGGAGGUCAGGCCUAUGGAAGGACAGGAGCCAGCUGGGUGGUGGAGAAAGGAGUGGAACAAAGGGGAGAAGCAGGGUGGGGGUGGCUGAGUGAGCAAAAGCUCAGACAAGUGCAUAAUGUUUCUCUGAGGGAGAGCGUGGGCCAGUCAGAGCCUGAGGCUUGAGAAUGACAGCCUUUGAGUCCAUGCGUGAGAGUGGGAGACGCCAUUAGAAUGGGGCCAGAUUGUGCAGUGUGCACCCUCAGUAAACCCUUCACAUGACUCUUGACACUGGGACCCCUUGAGUCUGGGGGCAGGGAAGUGACAUGAUGCAGAUAUGUUAGGAAGAUUUCUCAUUAUCUGAAAACUUGUUAAUGCUGCUUUGAUAGAGAUAAUUUUUCACCCUUUUAUACCUCCCUGUUGCUUACAGAUUGCUGGCCAUUACUUGAUUUUUAAGAUGAUUAUAAAUGAAGAUGAACAAGAAAGAAUUUUGUUCUGCUCUAAUGCAGUGGUGCUGGUAGGACCCAAAGAACUGUAUUAGGGAUGUUUGCCUGUGCACUAAUUGAUCCCAGACUGCAUUGUGUCUAUACAUGGUAUUUGUUAUCUUCUAUGUCAUUAUAAAAGUAAUAAAUUUGGAGGACUGGAAACAUGCCUCAAGUGGUAGAGCACCUCUCUAGCUAGCACAAGGCCUUGAGUUCAAGCCCCAGUACUGCCCUCCAAAAUAACACAUUUUGAAAUACAUUAAUUUGGAGAAUAUGGUAGAGUUGAAUUUUUAAAAUGCAUUGGUACAAGAAUUUUAGUGAAUAAGUAUCUCACAUUCAUGGACACAUACACGUAUGUGAUUUUUAAGCUAAAAAGCAGAUUUUGGCAUAUCUGCACUUUACUUUUUUAUUUAACAUUAUGAGAAGUGGAGUUAUAAACUCUGGGUAAGUAGAAUUUUCAUGGUCGCAUAAUGAUUGGGUAGAUUUGCCAUUGUUUUAACCAUCCCCCUGUUGCUAGACAUUUAGAUUUUCUCUAGUUUGAGUAGAUUCUACAUUUAGAAUUGUAUAUUUUAAAACUUUAACACUCUCCUAGGAGGCAAGUGAUGAGAUGAAAAGUGUGUGUUUCUGUGUGUCUUUAUUGCUCUUUGUUUGUUUAUGACAAGGUUCACUUUGUAACCCAGACUGCCUCAGCCUCCUGAGUGCUGGAAUUACAAGUGUGUUCCACUACACCUGGCUUUAAAAUAUUUUAUUAAAAUAGAGAAUGAGGGAGAACCAGAAGUGUAGACUGGAUAGCAUACAGGAGCAGGCAGGCUGUCCUGGAUUAACAGUGUUGGAAUGUCCUGCAUUACCUUUGUUUGACUACGAACACUUUUUCAUGCGUUUACUCAUUACAGGUGUGCAUCCCCAUGCCCAACUCAGAAGUCAACUGCUAGGUGACUAAAGUGUAAAAUUACAGUUGAUAUUUAAGGCAUAUUUCUUAUCUAAGACUUGGUUUUCAUUUACUGAUUACUGAAAAGUAAUUUUUAUUGCCUUAAGUUAAAUUAGCAAGUUACAGUAACAAAAUAGUCUUCAUGUUUCUAGGUCUUACUUCUGGUCUGCUUUUUGUUAGGUUCUUCUGUUUGUUUAUGUAUAUGAAUUUUCACAGUAACAAAAGUAGACUGCAUUUAAGGUUUGUUUUGAAAAACCAGAAAUAUUUCUGAUAGAAACAGAGUUCCUUAAAUAGGAUAGAAGAUUGUAAAACUUGAGAAUAUGAAGUUAUAGUCAAAUGACCCAGUGAGAAGACUGGAAAACACCCAAGUUCAAAUCUAGUCCUGCUUCUAACCGAGCCUGAACAGGUUACCUUCUUUUUGAGCUACAGUGUUUUGGUCACCUUUUGAAAUGGAGAAACUAGGGCUGGGCCAUGACUCAAGUGGUAGAGAACUUUGUCUAGAAAGUAUGAGGCCUAUGUUUGAUCCCCACUACUAUCAAAAUAAGAUACAAUAAAACAAAAUAAAUGAAAUGGAGAAAGUAAUACUUAUCUCAAAGUGUGGUUAUAACUUAAUGAGUAAAUGAGUUAAGUGUGUAUUCACACAUUCUCAUUUUUGCCCAUUUCUGCUUAUGCUUUUUCUUAGGUCUGAAGUGCUUUCUCUCUACCUAAUCCCAGUCUCUUCCUGUGGAGAUGCUACCCGUUCUUCAGGGAUUAACUGUAAUGCUGGGGUUCAGCACUUAAAAAAAUGUGCUAAGUGUGAGGAAAAUGGAUACACAGUAAUCAAUAUGAAACAAGACAGCAAGCUGUAAGAAAUUGUCAAGACACAAGUUUUAGAAGGGCAAAGCUCCUGAAAAGUAAUAAAAAUUGUUUUUAGUUAUGCAACAAUAAGAAGAGCGAGGUUGGGGUAGUUAUGCCUUAGUAAGUCUUUUUAUUUGCCUUUUAUUUUCUAACGCUCUCAUUGUAAAAAUGAAACUAAUCCAAUAUGACAAAACUCAGAGGACAUGAUUUCAUUGGGUUUGCACUUGACCUUGAUUAAUUACUACUCAGGAGGCUAUUUGCAGAAGUUGACAUCAAGUCCUAACCACUGUCAAUCCAAGACAGGAAGCUCUCCAGAUCAGAAAUAAGUAAUUUGUUCAAAAAGCAUGGAAAAGAGAAUUUGAGGAACAAAAUAAAUUUACUCUUGGUCUCUAGGCAAAUAUUUUUCCUGUGAACCUCCUUUUUCCUUAGUUAGAUCUUGGAUUAAUUCAAGUAUGUUUUAUAAUUAGUCUCUUCUCCCAAACUCCUUUUUUCUCUGCAACUAGAAAUUCUAGGACACAGUCCCAGCCUCAUCACUUCCUAUGAGGCCUUUAAGGGCUCCCCAUGGUACAUCAGAUAAAUACAGACUACUGGGCUGCUGAUAUGUCCUCCUCAGUCAGACUCUAGCCUGUACUUAGCUGCUUUUGCCAUCACACUUGAUCCCAUACUCUGGCCAAGAUGAACUGCUUGCAUUCUUUGAGUGACUCACUACUUUGUGGCCUCCAUACAAUCUUCCUGCAACUUAACUUCAUUCCUUUGAGCCUCCUCUUCAGUGCUGUCCAGUGUAAUGGGAUCAUACCUUCUAAGUCUCAUAGCCACUUGGAGUAAUCUUUUUAUCUCUUCAUCAUGUGUAUACACUUCUUUAGGAUCUUUAAGAACAAGAAUGAUGGCUGGUGGAGUGGCUCACGUGGUAGAGUGCCUGCCUAGCAAGUGUGGGGCCCUGAGUUCAAACCCCAGUGCUGUCAAAAAAAAAAAACAAAAACCAAGAAUGGUUAUGACUGAGCAUGCAGCUAUUUAAAUGUAGCAUUCCCUAAAUUGCAACAAAUCCUUCUCAGUACUUUUAUGGAUUAAUUUUUGUAAAAUGUUUUAAAUUUUACUUUGAAUUACUAAGGCCUUAAGAGGACUGCUCAUGGAGUCUGGCAUAGUGACUCGUGCCUGUAAUCCCAGCUACUUGGGAGGCAGAUAUCAGGAGGAUCGCUGUUCAAGGCCAGCUGAGCAAAAAGUUGGUGACACUUCCCCCAUGUCAACCAAACAAGCUGAACAGGUUGAGCUCUCCUAUAUUGCUACCUAUGUAAUGUAGAAGGAUUGCUGUCCAAGGUCAGCCUGGGCAAAAAAAAUACUAAGGAAAAAAAAAAGGGUUAGGGGUGUGGUUCAAGUAGUAGAGGCCUUUCAAGCCCCAAUGCCAACAAGAAGAAAUCUCAUUUGGUCAAUGAUCCCUAUAUCUAUAGAACACUAUAGUUCACAAAAUGUUUUUUACUUUUUGAAUUGCAUAUUAAAAUAAAAUUGAAAUUAAGGGACAGCUUGGUAAUACAUCUUGGUUUUAGCAAGGCAUAGUAAAUUAUCUUGAUAGCAAGAUUGUGUAUGGGUAAUGGGUACACUGUAGUAAAAUUAAACUUAUUUUAAACUUCUGUACUGAGAUGUUUGACUCAACUUGCUGAUUACGGUGUAGGUCUGCCCUGUCCGUGUGUGUGUGUGUGUGUGUGUGUGUGUGUAUGAACAGUUAACAAGUGACACAAAGUAUGGAGAGCAAGUUAAUAGAGAAUUACAGUUCAGAAAGAUUUCAGGCUGAAGCACUGAAGUAAAACCAUUAAAAAGUAGAAAUAGAAAUCCAUUUAGGACUUCAGAAAAUUGCAUUGCACAGGAGUCCAAAAUAUGGACAGCAAUCUGUCUUGGCAUUUUUUCAUGUGAGAUCCAAUGUGUUAGUCUAUACCAGGCUUGCUGUGAGUCAAGCAUGACUUCUUUUUAAAAGAUAGGAAUACAGCCUCAUCUAGGAGAAAAUGCUUAUUGAUUUUGUUUUGUUCUGUUUUUGAUGCAGGGUCAUAUAGCCCAGGCUGGCCUCAAAAUCAGAAUCUUAUCUCAGCCUCCCUAGUGCUGGUUUAACAGGUGUGCGCUACCACCUGGCUGAGAAUACAUAUGUUAGUCAUGCAAGUCAUCUGUAUACAUCGAUAGCUCGCCAUCUUUUGAAAUUAAUGUUUAAUUCCGGGUGUCUUUGUUGUUUCUAAGUGGCACAUUGCUUGGCAGGAUUCUGCACAACAGAGUAAGAGGUCUAGGAUGGUGAAUAGAAUAAACCAUACUUGCAAGGGAGAUACCUGGAAAGUUGCUCUGUUUUGUUCCAGGGUCAGAUCUGAUUACAAUGCCUAGAUCUAUCCAGUGUCAGAAUGGCUUGCCUUAUGGAGUGUGGACACUUUCCCUAAAGUUCUUAGCAAAGAGGUUUUCUAGUACUUGUUGAGAAGGCUUGUAGAUAGGCUCUGAGAUCCUACUGCACUUGGCAGUCCUCUGGCAUCAAAUAUUUCACAGCUCUGGAAGAUAGUUAGAUAGCUCUGUAUUCUGAACAAAUUUUGUCAAAUAGGAAGAACUCUCAUACUUUUUUUUAAGCAUACAAACUGCUCAAUCCUUGUCAUCUUUUUCUGAUGCUUCUCGUUUUAAAUGGGGAGAACAUUCAGGCAAAAUAAAGUCUAGAUAUCUUUAUCACACUUUGACUUAAGCUGUAGUUCUGAUUUUAGCUGUUUGUGUUCCAUGUUUAAAUAACUUAGUAGAUGUUAAGCUUAGUGUAGAAAAAUUAUCACCUGAAAAGUGGUAUUGUAGUAAGUAUAGUUUAGGUCAAGACCAUUGUUCAAGCCCGUAAACUUCACAAUUAAAUUUUAAAAUUCUAUCAGUAAAAAAAAUUUCAUACUAGCAAUUAAAUUACAUGCAUAGGACUGGGGGUGUGUCUCGUGGUAAGAGAACUGCCUAGCAAGCACAGGGCCCUGAGUUCAAACCCUAGUACUACAAAAAAAAUAGAAAGGUACACAAACACACACACAAACACAUAUGUGCUUUGGUUGUAGUUACAGAACCUUCACAGGAUGAGAUGAAAAAACCUUGUAAAUAUGUUUUCUAUAUACCAAUGAAUCAUCUUGUAUUGCCCCCUAGGGUGUACAUGCCUUUGGAAACCAUUGUUCUUUGUCAUAGAAUCUUGAGAGCUUUGUUUCCCAUUUGCUUUUAAGCUAAAGAGUUUUGGUAGCUCACAGAUACAUAGAUCUUUGUAAAUCAAUGAAAACCAAUGAAAUGUAAGAGUUUGUACUGUAUAUAAAACAUGUUGCAAAACUUGUAAAAUGCAAGGCACAGUAUGCCUUUGAAAUGUACACUGGUAGAGGGUACAUAGGAACACUUUCUGAACAUUUAGUGAAUAGUUUGGAAUAUGAUAUUAGGACUUAAAUGAAGACAGGACUGGAGAGAGAUUUGCAUAAACAUGCAUAAAGAUGAAGCCUUAGAAACAGAUGAUAUCUUUAAGGCAAUAUGUAGUCAAAAGAACAAAUAAGCCAAGAUUAAAACUUUGGAAAGCCCUCACUUUUAAGGGAUGGGUAGAGAAGAAGCUAGAAGUAACUAAAAGAGAAUCAGGAUAAUAUAGGUUCUCAGACAUCAGAAGAGCUUGGGCAAGGACCAGGUAGGUAGUCCAGUGCACGAAUUACCCUUCGUCCAUGAGUGCCUGAAUGGGGCAGGUUGAUAGUUAAGUAGUUCUCCAGAGCAGUGCUCAGCAUUUCCAGCGUUUUCUCUGUAGCAAGGGAGUAUGGUUUCAAGGAAAACCAACUGAAGGCAAGGAAAGGGCAGAUUAGAGCCCUGCAUGGAGGAGCACGAAGUUUCAUACAGCAAACAUUCAGGAACAGGAUCAGGGCUUCCUGCAGACAAGACUGCAGCCCUAAUGACCUAUUAAACCUGUCAUCUGGCAGAAGUGCUCACAGUUCAGAAUGUACUGUGGCCUCACUUUUUUAGGUUCGGUAUACUUAAUUUAUGUGUUGGCCAGAUUAUUUAGAAAUGAUUCUAACACAUCUAAAUAUAUCAACCUGUGUGACUUAACCAGUGUUUUAGCCUUGAGACUAUUUUUUCUAUGUAUAGAAGAGUAUAUUUACAUACAAAUAUAUAAUUUUGUGUAAGUUAUUAAAAUAUAAAACAAUUUUCA